rnacentral:rRNA from 1 species
GAUGAACGCUGGCGGCGUGCCUAAUACAUGCAAGUCGAGCGACCGGACGAGAAGCUUGCUUCUCUGAUGUUAGCGGCGGACGGGUGAGUAACACGUGCAUAACCUACCUAUAAGACUGGGAUAACUUCGGGAAACCGGAGCUAACACCGGAUAAUAUUUUGAACCGCAUGGUUCAAAAGUGAAAGACGGUCUUGCUGUCACUUUUAGAUGGAUCCGCGCUGCAUUAGCUAGUUGGUAGGGUAACGGCUUACCAAGGCUACGAUGCAUAGCCGACCUGAGAGGGUGAUAGGCCACACUGGGACUGAGACACGGCCCAGACUCCUACGGGAGGCAGCAGUGGGGAAUUUUCGGCAAUGGGCGAAAGCCUGAAGCAGCAACGCCGCGUGUGUGAUGAAGGUCUUCGGGUUGUAAAACUCUUUUAUUGGGGAAGAAAAUGAGUGUGAGUAAAUCUCCGCUCCAUGACGGUACCUGAAGAAAAAGCCACGGCUAACUACGUG